UGCCAUGAUCAUCCCCAUCCAUGUGGAGCUGUAAGUCAAAUUAAAGCUCCUUUUCUUCCCAGUCUCAGGUAUAUCUUUUUCAGCAGCACAAAAAUGGACUAAUACAUAACCAUACUGUGUAUGCAAAAUAUUACACAGCACAGAGUUUCAAUGAGACAGUGAACUUGGGAGAACAGACCAGAACAGAAAGGAAUGAGUCCUUCAUUCCCCCCCUCACUGAAGUGCUGGCAAACAACAAUAUUGCCCAAGCAAAUUGGUAGUUGAAAGAGCCUACCCUAAAUUCUGUGGGGAUGAGGUGAUGAGGUGAUGAGGCUACAUAAGGUCCUUAAGGGCAGAGAGAUCUUGAUCAUUCCAUUUGCCAUCAUUAUCCUCACUGAUACUAAUUUCUAUGUGCCAGGCACUGUUCUAAGUACUGUGUACUAACACACAGAAUUCUAAAAAUGAGAAGUUUCCUCAUCUGUUAAAUCUGCAGGUAAGGAAAUUGGGACACAGAAAAGUCAUUUUCCAAAGGUCACACAGGUGGUGAGAGGCAGAGCUGCUUACUGUGACCCUAGUGCCUAGCACAGAAGGUGCCAUAUCAGAGCUUGCUAAGUCCUUAGCUUGAUUUCUCCCAGACAUAGUAGCUAGGGAGAAAAGGUGAUGGCAAAUAAACAUACUGACCAGCCUCACCAGAGAAACGAGUGCUUAGAGAGUUAAGGUUAUACGUAUCCUCUAAUAAAGGCAGAUCAUCUCCCCGACCCGAUGGACUGUCGCUUUGGCAGAGGGAGACAGUUUGCAUCUGCAAGCCUGAGGGGUCCAGUUCCACAGGUGGACAGUGACACGAUUCUACUCAUGGCUUUGCUGUGCAGCAAAACAGUGAUUUGCCAUCAUUCCAAAGGUCCCAAAAUGUUAAAAGGCAAGACCUGAGGCAAAAAUGAAACUCACAGGAAGGGAGGGCCUGUCAUGGCACCAUAAUAGGUCACUGUCCUAGAGGACAAAUUUCAAAUCAGUAAAUGAUCCUUGGUGCCUCCAGGUGUCAGCUGUAUGCCCACCUGCCCAGGUGCUGCUACAUGGAGCAUUAGUAGUGACUGUUUGUGCAGGGGCAGGCUGAGCCUGAGCAAGCAUCACCACAGAUGCACCUCAGAGAGGGGGCAGUGGGCUCCAGAAGCCAGUGUGGGCAUGUGCUUCCUAUUCCAGCCUCUUUGGAUGGUGUUUUCUCCCCACCUCCCUUCCCAGCCCACUUGCUCACAUACCAUCAGAUGCUUUCUCUGGGCACAGUAAGAUUGGCUGGCCUUCGAAGAGGUCAAUAACUCUACACUUCCUAAAAGUUUUAUCUAAACAGUCACCAAUAGUUCUGGCCAAUAUUUGAUGCAAAUCUGAUGUGUGGGGUAGGUCUUUGACCAAGGCUGUAGGGAUGCGGUAAGGAGCAAAACAUUUUCAUUCAGUUCUCAACCCGACAAGAGAAAUACUGUUGAGACCAACUUUACACCUGAAAACUGGGGCAUGGAGCAAUAAAGAAAUUUGUGUAAGGCUACAACUAGUAAAUGGUAGAGACAGAAUCGGAGUCCAGGUUGGCCUGGACCACACGAGGCCUCCAUGAAGAGAAAAGACACUGGCCUGACUUCAGUGGUGGCAAGCAGAUGUCUCACUAAGCCAUCCCUCUAACCUGAGAAGUGGUAGCAUAAGGCUGAGGAGGGGGGAGAGGGGACACAACAGCUGUGCCAGUUAGUGGUGGAUUAAAGCACUGAACCAGAAGUACCUGGGAUAAAGCAUGGAUACCAGUUGCCUUGGACUUGACCACAUUUCGAGUCCACUGUAGGGUUCAAGAGAUCUACUGGCUCCGGGUUUCACACAGGUCUGCCUUGCUGAUAAAUGUUUUGGAGUUUUUGUGUAUUUGGCUGGAAAUAAGCAAAAAAUAAAUGAGCCAAACCCCUUAUUGUAUAAACCAGAAAAUCCUGGAGACUUAGUCUGGGGGGCUCAGGAUGAGAAAGCAAAUUGUGGCCUCUGAAUGCCGCUCCCGUGGAUGCCAGCACCUCUUGUUCCUGAGUUAACACCAGAGCUGGAUGGAGGCUGGUGAGCUUGGGGUCUUGGGGGCCAUGGGGUCCUAGAGUGGGCUCUCCUGGGAGCCUUUCUGCUCCUCAGAUAGAGUGGGGUCUCCUGCCUUGGGGCUUCCAUUGUAGCCCUGCACGCUGGCCUUUUUUCGUAACUGAAGCUGUAUCCAUCCUGGGGAUGUGGGUACCCUAAGGGCAGGGCAGGCCUCUCCCCAGUGCCUGGCACUGGGCCAGAACCCUAAGGGCAGCUCCACACUGUGAGUAGGGGCCUGAGCCCAGACUGCAGAAGGACAAGACAAAGGCAGGCCCGGCAGGCAGCCUGGCAGCCACAGGAGAGCUCCGGAUACCCUCCAGCACUGGCAGGGCAGCUGUUAAGCCCUGGCUCCAUGGGCACAUAUCAGCGCCAGUCCCCGCAGCCCCCUUCCUUGGGGUCCAGCACUCCGACCUGGCCAACCCACAGCCAGAGCACGCUGGGCAGAGCUUCUUGCCAAGGAAGGCUCUUGCCAUUUCUAAGCAGGUGCUCUGGCUCUGUAGGAAAGAGGGAAGCUUCUCUGUGGAUAUGUGGGGGAGGGAGGGAGAAAGGGAAGGCCUGUUCAUGCAGGUGGCAGCAGGGCGUUUUGAGUCGCUCCAGAACUAGCCUGGGGACUUGGGGUGGGAAAUGGGUUGGGCAGAUGGAGUAGAGAAGUCCACUUGUUGCCAGGUAAGUUUGGUGGAGGAUAAACAAGCAAUUCUGCCUAAAGAGUCACAGUAAAGAGCCCUUGGUACAAGAUCCUAUGGGAUCUAAGGGGAGGAGCCGAAGUCAGCAUGCAGUAUUGGGAAUGCUUCCAGAGACAGACACCUCUAAUAUUUUUGAAGGCUGCCACGGGGUCUGUGGGUGGACAGGGAAAGGGCAUUCCAACCAAGACACAUGCAUAAGCAUGAGAGAGUAGGUGGGUGCAUGGAUGGGUGAAGUUGGGGCUGGUGAGAUCCAGGAGCCAACAAACAAAGCUCCUGCCAGUAAUACCCACAUGAGAAUCCUGUGCCCAGAGGCAGUUUGGAGGACUAAGAAGUCCACAGUUGCGUCACUGCCUUCCUCUCCUGGGUCCUAAGCCUCUUCUUGGCACCUCCAGAAAAGGUGAAAACAAACGGCUGCCCAGGACACCUAUCUAGGGUGGAGGCCUCUUCCCCACUACCCCAGGGGCCAGGCCAUGGCCCUGAGGUUUCUUCUGUCCCCCUGCAGAACAGCACCAUAACCCACCUUAAAUUACAACUCGGUACAUACCCACAGAAGCAGCAUUUCUCAAAACCUAAGCUACCCUCGGCUUGUAUAAAGCACUCUAAUUUUUAUUUUCUAUCCUGUCCUUUUUUUUUUUUUUUCAAUGCUUGUCUCAACCCACAAAAUUGCUUUUAUAACCCAUGAGUGAAUUGUACCUGCAGUUUGGAAACACUGCCCUGGAAAGGCAUCUGCCUGCUCUUCUCCAGCCCCUCUUCCUGGAAGGAACACCGAAAUGAGGGCGCCUGCGUCCUGGUGAAGUGUUGGAGGCUGGGGUAGCCUUUCACCAGGAGUGGGACCCGGAGGUGAGGCCAGCUCUCAGACAUCAACCAAAGGACCCACUGCAUCUCCCUCCUUCGCCUGCCAACAAAGGUUCAAGUAGAUGUUGACACCCCCUCAGACAUGGAAGGAGAUCCAUGUUUUUCUUUUUCUAGUUCUGCACAAAUGGCCUUAAACAAAAUACGCAAACAGGUUCCUUGCCUCUCCCGAAGGCAGCCCACCACAGAAGCCCUGCCACAGCCCAAGAGGUUAGAUGCUGCCAGGAUCUGUUUCCGCCACAGAGCAGCUCUGUGCAGCACAUUCCUGCCAACCACCCCAAGUGCUUCAGGGCUUCCGAGGCAGUGACAGUGAGGGCAGCGGCACUUCUGGGUCACCGUGGGACAGGUCUCUGCCUCAAGACACGGAUUGACAAGCUCUCUGAGUGGGCCAGGAGCUCCUUAAUGUGAGCCAAGCCCAGCCCUGCCACCUUGGCCCCAUUCAUCUCCAGGAUCUCGUCGCCCACCCCCAGCAGCCCUGAGUACAGCUUGGCCGUGCUCAUGUCAGCCAUCUCCUGCACGUAGAUCCCUGCAAAGGAAAACGGGAGAAUUUCACAAUGACACCCAAAUCGAAGAAGUGCAUCUCUGGAACGCUGACCAUGUUGGUGAGGUGCUGUUUGUGUGGCACAGGGAGGAGGUGCUCAUAGCGGGCACUUCUCUUCACACAUGCACACACACACACACACACAUACCCCUCAUUAUUCCACCUCACAGCCGCAGCUGGCUUUAGACAGUGCGCCUCCUCCACAGUCUAACUUCAUUCCACUGUCUCUGCUUGUAAAGUGGAAAUGCUCCUAGUGCAAAUAACGCGUUAAAUUGUUGUUAUUUGUUUAUACCUGACUGUGAGUGAGCUAAUCUUUUUCUGAGAUGAGCUUUGCUUGUAGAAUAGGAAGGAAAUAGUUUUUAAAAAUUAGGAACCAUACCUCCUCGGUGCCUGGCACUAUGAUCCAGUUGCUGCCUCACGUCGCCCAGGCCCAGCAGAAAGGCCGGGGUGGUGGGAAGGUAUCAUCGGAAAAGCAAAAGUGGCUGAGCCACAUCCAAGCCUGGUUUGCUGCACUCUAUUGCCAAAGAGUGACCCUGGCCUCAGUCUUACUCAGAUAUGGUUCCUCAAUUGGGAUGGGAAAACAUCUGAGCAAAAAAACCCAGGAAAAAUAAAAAUUCUAGCCACA